UACGUAGGGUGCGAGCGUUAAUCGGAAUUACUGGGCGUAAAGCGUAUGCAGGCGGACUUUUAAGUCGGGGGUGAAAUCCCGAGGCUCAACCUCGGAACUGCCUUCGAUACUGGAAGUCUUGAGUCCGGGAGAGGUGAGUGGAACUCCGAGUGUAGAGGUGAAAUUCGUAGAUAUUCGGAAGAACACCAGUGGCGAAGGCGGCUCACUGGCCCGGUACUGACGCUGAGAUACGAAAGCGUGGGGAGCAAACAGG
rnacentral:rRNA from 1 species